rnacentral:rRNA from 1 species
GACAGAGGGUGCAAACGUUGUUCGGAAUUACUGGGCGUAAAGCGCGCGUAGGCAGCAGCGUGUGUCGGGCGUGAAAUCCCACGGCUCAACCGUGGAAGUGCACUCGAAACUGCGCAGCUAGAGUCUCGGAGAGGAAGGCGGAAUGCUUGGUGUAGAGGUGAAAUUCGUAGAUAUCAAGCGGAACACCGGUGGCGGAAGGCGG